UACGAGAGGUGCAAGCGUUAUUCGGAAUUAUUGGGCGUAAAGGGUGCGUAGGCGGUUUAUUAAGUCUGUUGUUAAAUUUCUCGGCCUAACCGGGAGUAUGCGAUGGAAACUGGUAGACUAGAGGAUGAUAGAGAGAAGUGGAAUUCUCGGAGUAGCGGUAAAAUGCGUAGAUCUCGAGAGGAACACCAAUGGCGAAGGCAGCUUCUUAGGUCAUUCCUGACGCUGAGGCACGAAAGCGUGGGUAGCAAACAGG
rnacentral:rRNA from 1 species